GAUGAACGCUGGCGGCGUGCCUAAUACAUGCAAGUCGAGCGAACGGACGAGAAGCUUGCUUCUCUGAUGUUAGCGGCGGACGGGUGAGUAACACGUGGAUAACCUACCUAUAAGACUGGGAUAACUUCGGGAAACCGGAGCUAAUACCGGAUGAUAUUUUGAACCGCAUGGUUCAAAAGUGAAAGACGGUCUCGCUGUCACUUAUAGAUGGAUCCGCGCUGCAUUAGCUAGUUGGUAAGGUAACGGCUUACCAAGGCAACGAUGCAUAGCCGACCUGAGAGGGUGAUCGGCCACACUGGAACUGAGACACGGUCCAGACUCCUACGGGAGGCAGCAGUAGGGAAUCUUCCGCAAUGGGCGAAAGCCUGACGGAGCAACGCCGCGUGAGUGAUGAAGGUCUUCGGAUCGUAAAACUCUGUUAUUAGGGAAGAACAUAUGUGUAAGUAACUGUGCACAUCUUGACGGUACCAAAUCAGAAAGCCACGGCUAACUACGUG
rnacentral:rRNA from 1 species